AUUGAACGCUGGCGGCAGGCCUAACACAUGCAAGUCGAGCGAGCGGCGGACGGGUGAGUAAUGUCUGGGAAACUGCCUGAUGGAGGGGGAUAACAACUGGAACAGGUAGCAAAAACCGAAAACCAUCAGAUUUGCCAAGGUGGGGUUUGCUAGUAGGUGGGGUAACGGCCCACCUAGGCGACGAACCCUAGCUGGUCUGAGAGGAUGACCAGCCACACUGGAACUGAGACACGGUCCAGACUCCUACGGGAGGCAGCAGUGGGGAAUAUUGCGCAAUGGGCGCAAGCCUGAUGCAGCCAGGCCGCGUGUGUGAAGAAGGCCUUCGGGUUGUAAAGCACUUUCAGCGGGGAGGCGUUACCCGCAGAAGAAGCACCGGCUAACUCCGUGCCAGCAGCCGCGGUAAUUC
rnacentral:rRNA from 1 species